ensembl:lncRNA uncharacterized LOC112993043
CCUGGGCACAGUGGGGCCUUGGGCUGACGUCUUGGUGCUUCUCCAGCAAACUGCCAGCAGAGCGAUGUGGUGAGGACCCACGUUGCUCACGCUGUGCUUGUGGUGAUCUACGGCGGCAUGGUGCUGCAUGCCCCCAGAGAGCAGCUCCUCACCCGUGUCAAGAGAGACGUCGUGGGGAACAUCCUGUGGCUCUACUGAGAGGGCUGCCAGGAGGUGAUUCAGGAGGAGCCCCGGGAGUCCCUGGUGUGCCCCCCGCCCUGGGCCCUUGUGGCCAUGCAGCAGUUGAGGUAGGGUCUGUCCCUGGGGCUGUGGGAGUCACUGCAUGUCCCAGCGCAGCUGGCUGGUCUGGCUGGGGCUGCAGGUGUUGCAUUUGAGGCUGUUGAUCGGGACAAAGCCAGUCAUCCUUUGACUUGCUCUGGAGAGUGCUAGUAAGCCCCCUUUCUGUCUUCUCUCCUUUUUCCUCCUGGCAGCAAGCUGCAGCCCCGUCUGAGCAGGGAGGAAAACUGCAGCCUCCUGGCUCAGUGCUGCCAGGGCAUCAUGUGCCUUCGUCACCUGGAGCAGAUGGAAGAGGAAGGGGAGAUGGUGGCGGCUGCUCCACGUGCGUGGGUACCCACCGGCCCUUCUUGGCUGCCGCUUGGUGGGGACCCAGCUCUGGGCGACCUGCACUCUGGCAGCCACUGGCUGUGCUGGCAUCUCUGUAGAGUGCCCAGCCUCAGUUCUCCUUUCUGGUGUCAGGAUGCGCAUGCGCCAUCCCUGCAAGUGCUGGGCCAGCUCAUAGCAGCUCUUCUCCAGACAGAGUCGGUCCCUGCCUGCUUCGAGGACAUGGUGCAGCAAGACUGUGCCUGAAAGCAGUUCAGGUCUCUGGCGAGUGGAAAGAUGCCCAUGGUGAGAUGGUUCCACCCGACACCCCUCGACAGCCCCGUCCUUCCCAGCCCUGCUGUCUCCACAGCCCUGGUCUCUCCCAAGUGCCCCAGCCCCAGGGGACUUUUAGGGCCUCUGACAAGCGAUGUGCUGGCUGGAUCCUCCCAGAGGGCAGUGACCUGCCUGGGCAGCCUGCUCCAAACAGGAGGUGAGGAGAGUGGUGCAGGGCCCUUCCCUGCUGCUGUCUGAGGGCAGGAUGUCACCCCCGAUGCCAGGGACCAUCCCCCUCUGCAGCUGGCCCCUCGCCUGGCUAGCAAACCUGCUGCACCGUGUUCAGAGGUCCCUGGCUUUGUCAUGGCCUUCAUUGCCCUCUCUUGGGCCCUCUUUUAUUCGCACACGGGGCCAGAGUUUGGCUCCCCACGAACGUGACUCCACUUUCUCCUAGCUCCAACCGAGACUACAGAAGCGGCAACUGAAGACAUUGGGUACCUGCGUGAGAGGCUGAAUGCUGAUGAUGCCGAGUCUCUGCUGUCGACCUCCAUUGUCAUCGCAAGGGAAACUGGCCCCCAAAAAGCGGGGUGGGGGCCCGGUGCCAGGCUCCUGCCCAUUUCCCUGCUCCCUCCAGGGUCUCACGCCCUUCCCCGAGUGAGCUGUCGCACAGGGACAUGUGGGCAUAAGCAUGGAGCAGGAGGCUGGAGACAUCGGUCCUUUUGGCCCAUGGUGAAAGGAGGAGAUGCUGGGCGGGGGGGAGUGUGCACAUGCGUGUGCUGUUGUCAG